CAGAUGUUUGAACACUUGGGAACCUGCAUAACAUAAUAUCAGUGGUUGCCAAUUUUCCAAUUGUGGACUAUACAAGUACAAAAUUAUGUCUUUCGUUAGAAUCAACAUACAAGCAUUGGGAGUAACUACUUUUAGACAGUAAGUGUUAUACUAAUGUUAGGAACUUCUAUAAUGCAUAUAAUUAUGGAGUACACAUGACACAAAACAUAUGGAAUUCUAGGAGCAGUAAUUACACAUAAUCACAAAUACCUGAGACUUAUAGUAUCUCCGUACUAAUAGCUUGAAUUAAAGAAACUGCAGUACUACUAGAUAGAACAUAUAAAGGAUAAAAGGGAAAGAUAUGAAACUAGUAACUAAUUUUAAACACCCAGAGGCCCCCCACCCUGAGUCUGCCCGACUCGAGGCCCCCACCCUGAGUCCGCCCACCUCGAGGUCCCCUCCCUAAGUCCGCCCGCCUAGAGUCCCGAUCAUUCUAAAACGAUCGUUAAGGUCAUUCACUCGAUUCCCUGUUGCCCGUUCAUACCUUACAACGAGUAUGAUAGAUGUCUAUAAUUGGCUUACUUUCAAAUUCGUUGUUGGAGAAAGGGAAAAGGAUUCUUUCUGGUUGUCACAUCUUCUCACCCUGUCUGCUUUGGCUAUGUGUUCGUAAUGCUUCCUUCUUUUCUUUGAUUGAAUGAAUUCUGAACUGGAAUCAUGAAUUGGAUUCGAACCAAUAUUGCUUUUGCGACUUUCCCUUUAGUCGAUCAUGAUGGGAAGAUCCUGCUGCAUCAGGAUUUCGGCACCCCUUUCUGUGAGAUAUUUGCCUAACCAACCCCCCGCCUCGAGACCCCUGCCUUGAGGCCCCAGCCCCUCCGCAUUGAGGCCGCCCACCCCAUUUCACCCGAUUUAUAACUGAACCAAUUAGAGGAUUCUUGCUGUUGACCAAACAGGACUCAACAAAAAUAUCAGAAAGGAAAUAUUUUUUAACUCAACAAAGAAGAUGAACAUAAAAAGUCACUUGGAUUCACAUACAUCCACGGAUAGGUUCAAUUGAGACAAUGUCAUUCCAACAAAUCAUGCUCUAAUAUUUAAGUAUCUAUGUUACAUAGGCACACAAAUACUAUGUUACAUAGGCACACAAAUACUAUGUCUGUGAGAAACUAACUUCAACCUAGUAAGCUACAGAAACUUGGACAACUAACUAAGCCCCAAGAAAAUACUGGAACAAUUCAAACAUGAAAAGAAGAAAUGAAACCUAGAUCAUACAAUCAAAAGAUAAGAUCACUCAAAGAAUCAAUACACAUGAUAGUACUUCUUUACAGGGAGACUUGGCAGUGGUAAUGUUAGGAACCUUUUUGGGCAUCCACACAGGCACUUUCAAAUUAAUUAAUGUUCUGAAUUAAACAAAGGUGUCUAAUAAUAUCACAUAGUAAUACCAUCGCACUUUCCCUUCCCCCAGAUUACUUUACUGACUGUAAUUCAUUCAAAAAGAGUAAAAGAAGUGACCAAGAAUUGCCAUGAAAUUAUGAGAAUAUCUCCAGAAGCAAACGAUGAGGGAAAACAAAGAAAAAAUCCAUAUAAAUUUUAGACUACUUAAACUACUUAGAGAUACAAGGAUAUUCAUCUAUUCAGAAGAUAUGUCAUGGCUACACACCAAAACUUUCAAUGAGAAUUGCAAAAUGAUGGAAAAGUUACUGUACAUGAGCGGAAAACUUGAACAAGCUAUUAACACAAUUUAAACGCAAAAAGAGCAAAUCAAUAUAUAUCAAAGGGGACCUAUUAGGCAGUGAUAUACUCUGUAAAAUAAGACUUUGAACCGAACUAAAAAGCAGACAAAUUAAGGAUUAAACUAGCAUAUACUUAAACAAACCUUGAACUACAUUCUGAAAUUAAGCUAAACCAUAGUCAGGACAUGAAUAAUGAAUGAAACAUCAAGUCUAACCAUAAGAGAACAAGCAUGAAUUUCAAACAUAGUUUCUAACAGAGAAUUAACUACAUUACCUUGAUUUUUGAUAGUAGUUGAUGAAGUCCAAAUAUAUGUGAAAGCUUCUUAACAUGCACUUUGAAGGAGUUGAAGUUGAUACAGGCAUACAGCCUUUCUUUGAUUUUUUUUUAGUUUUGCUGCGUAGAAUCUCUAUUUCUUUGAAGUACAGAGUAGAAAUCUUUUCUUCAGAAAUCUCUUGUGCAAUGUAGGGUAUGAGUAUGACACUUUGGUGGGCUUUGGCCCUUACACUUUGAAAUCCCUUUUAUUUUGUUUAGACCAAAUUUUCAAAAUAUGGGGUGUUACAAUCUCUCCACCUUAUGAAAUACGGUCCCCGAAUUUGAAGUGCAUAUUUGAUGACUCACACUUGCUCUGACUCCCAAAUAGCUUCUUCAAUAGUAUGAUUUAUCC
rnacentral:lncRNA from 1 species